rnacentral:tRNA from 1 species
GAGCCCGUAGCUUAGUCUGGUUGGAGCACUCGACUGAUAAUCGAGAGGUCGACGGUUCAAAUCCGUUCGGGCUCA